rnacentral:rRNA from 1 species
UACAGAGGUCCCAAGCGUUGUUCGGAUUCACUGGGCGUAAAGGUGCGUAGGCGGUUUGACAAGUCUGAUGUGAAAUCCCGCAGCUUAACUGCGGAACUGCAUUGGAAACUGUCUGACUAGAGGAAUGGAGGGAGACUGGAAUACUGGUGUAGCAGUGAAUGACGUAGAUAUCAAGUGGAACACCAGUGGCGAAGGCGAGUCUCGUGGACAUUCCUGACGCUGAGGCACGAAAGCCAGGGAGCAAACGGG